AAGAGUGGCUUAUCACUGGACCUCACACAUAGGUGAUGUAACGCUUCUGUCUAGGGUAAUUGUGACAUGUUCCUGUGCCCGUCACCCAGAUAAUGUGACUCUUCUCUUUUCCUGAGACCUUCCUGCAGUGGAGAUUGUGACAUAUUACUUGGCCCAGUACCUAUGUAAUGUGACUCUUCUCUCACACCAUUGAUUUGCACCUAGGGUAGUUGUGACAUAUAGCUGGGCUCAGCCCCUGGGUUAUGUGACUCUUUUGAUUAUCCUCAGCUCCACCUGCAAGGAGCACUGGGAAAUAUAUCUUUGGGCCCCUCAAUUAGGUGAUGUGACUCCCCUUCCUGGACUCUUUCCUCAGGAGGUAUUGUGACAUAUUCCUGGACCAAGUACCCAGGUAAUGUAACUCUUUUCUACUGCUUGGACUCUACCCAAGGAGAGAUUCUAAUGUAUCACUGGACCCAGCACCUAGGUUAUGUGACUUUCCUCUUGUGUCUGAGUCUUGCAUAAAUUGUGUAUUGUGACAAAUAACUGGGUCUAAAACCUAGUUGAUGAGACUCUUCUGCAUGGGCCCUGCCUACAGGGGUAUUAUGACAUAUCUUCUUUUUUUUUUAAUCACCUAUGUGAUGUGCCUUUGUUUGCAUGUGUGUGCGUCCUGGCCCUGCCAAAAGUGGGGAUUGUAACAUAUCACUAAACUUAGUACCAGGGUGUUAUGAUUCUCCUUGUUUGCCUGGGCCCUGCAUAUAUUAGGUACUGUGACGUAUGUGUGAGACAAACACCUAGAGCAUGAAAGCCUCUUGCCUGGGUCCUGGCCACAAGGAGCCUUUUGGCUUAUCUCUCCAUCCAUGAACUAGGAGAUGUGACUCUUCUUUUCUGUCUGGGUUCUGCAAAAACAAGUGAUUGUGACAUAUCAUCAAACCCAGCAACUAGACGAUGUGAUUUUUCUUCCCUGCUUGAGCCCUGGAUAUGCUGUGUAUUGUGAUAUAUGGCUGGGUCCAACAUCAAGGUAAUGUGACUCUCCUAAAUGGACUCUGCCCACAGGAGUAUUAUGACAUAUCUUUACAUUUAUCACCUUGGUUAUGUGACUCUUUUUAUUUCCCUGAGCCCUCUUGAAUUAGGAAUUGUGUCGUACCACUGAACCUAGCACCUAGGUGAUGUGACUUUGUUUUAUUUCCUGGGUCUUGCAUUUUUUAAGUAUUGUGACAUGUCCCUGAGCACAACACCUAAAGAAUUGGGAGGUACCUGCUUGUACUCUGCCUAUGGGGGGUGGGGGGCAUUGUGACAUAUCUCUGGGCCCAUCAACUGCUUCAUUUGACCCUCCUCUCCUACACAUGCUUUGUCAAUAGGAGAGAUUGUGACAUAUCUCUGGAACCAGAACCUUAGUGAUGUGACUCUUCUCUCCUGCUGAAGCCAUGCCCACACAAGGGAAAGUGACUUAUCACUGGGCCCAGCACACAGCGCUAUUCACAGGGAAAAUAGUGACACAUCUGUGGGGUUCUCACCGAAAUGAUGUGACUCUCCUGCCUGGGCUCGCCUCUCAAGGGAAUUGUGACAUAUUACUGGACCAAGCACCUAGGUGAUGUGGCUCUGACAAAGGAGAAAUUGUGAUGUACCACUGUUUCCAGCACCUAAGAGAUUUGACUCUCUUUUCAUGA